GCAUUAAUAGCUUAACAGCAAAGCAUCGGUUUUGUAAUCCGAAGAUUGGGGGUUAAAACCCCCCUUAAUGCC
rnacentral:tRNA from 2 species